CAGUAGCCGCGGGAAUACGGGGGGGGCAAGUGUUAUUCGGAAUGACUGGGCGUAAAGGGCACGUAGGCGGUGAAAAGGGUGGAAAGUGAAAGUCGCCAAAACACUGGCGGGGUGCUUUCUUGACCAUUUCACUUGAGUGAGAUAGGGGAGAGUGGAAUUUCGUGUGGAGGGAUCAAAUCCUAAGAUAUACGAAGGAACGCCAACCGCGAAGGCAGCUCUCUGGGUCCCCACUGACGCUGGCGUGCGAAAGCAUGGGGAGCAAACAGGAUCAGAUACCCCUGUAGUCCCUGUCUCUUAUACA
rnacentral:rRNA from 1 species